rnacentral:tRNA from 1 species
UAGGAAGUGGUGUAAGGGGAGCACGAAGAGUUUUGAUCUCUUCAGUAAGGGGUCGAUUCCCUUCUUUCUAA